UAGGGAAUCUUCCACAAUGGACGCAAGUCUGAUGGAGCAACGCCGCGUGAGUGAAGAAGGUUUUCGGAUCGUAAAGCUCUGUUGUUGGUGAAGAAGGAUAGAGGCAGUAACUGGUCUUUAUUUGACGGUAAUCAACCAGAAAGUCACGGCUAACUACGUGCCAGCAGCCGCGGUAAUACGUAGGUGGCAAGCGUUGUCCGGAUUUAUUGGGCGUAAAGCGAGCGCAGGCGGAAUGAUAAGUCUGAUGUGAAAGCCCACGGCUCAACCGUGGAACUGCAUCGGAAACUGUCAUUCUUGAGUGCAGAAGAGGAGAGUGGAACUCCAUGUGUAGCGGUGGAAUGCGUAGAUAUAUGGAAGAACACCAGUGGCGAAGGCGGCUCUCUGGUCUGCAACUGACGCUGAGGCUCGAAAGCAUGGGUAGCGAACAGGAUUAGAUACCCUGGUAGUCCAUGCCGUAAACGAUGAGCGCUAGGUGUUGGGGACUUUCCGGUCCUCAGUGCCGCAGCAAACGCAUUAAGCGCUCCGCCUGGGGAGUACGACCGCAAGGUU
rnacentral:rRNA from 1 species